rnacentral:lncRNA from 1 species
CUACUAUCAACCAAGUCCUUGCACCAAAAAGGUUGACAAGAGAAGAGCUUCAGGAGCGAUCUGCGAAGGGGUUAUGUUGGCACUACGACGAGUCAUGGAGCCGCGAGCAUCGCUGUAGAAAAGGGAGACUUCUUAUGAUUGAACCAGUAGAAGAAGAGGUCAUUGAACAUCCAGAAGAGAGCUUUGAACAUGAAGAAGAAGAUGUGGAAGAAGAGCCACAA